CUUAAAUGAGUCAUAUACUAUCUUUGUACUUCUUGCUCUCUCUUGAGUGACUGUGUGCCCUUCUGCAGCCACUUCUCAACUGGAAGCAGGGCUGGCAUCAUGGGCAGGAAACCAAGGAUGGUUUUCAUGCAUUUGUAUAUGUGAAGACCUUCCAGCCUCUAGGAGCAAGGAUGGGGAGAGACUGGAGUGAUGAAGGGGACAGAAAAAUACAUAUACCCUGCUCACCACCAACCCAUCCUUUCCUCGACUCCUCAAGACUGAGAGCUCCAAAGGAGGCAUUCUUGACAAAGUGAGUGAAAGAAGGGACACACCUUUGCUCAUCCGUUUGGGAGAGGGCUUUGCAUUUAUUGAGUACCCAUCGUAUUCUGGAUCAUCUGGGUGAGGGAUUGCCCUGCUCUCUAGUAGAAGAAGAAACACGGACCCCUGAAGCAUGUAAGGAAGAGGAAGUGCUGCAUUGUGUCAGAGUGACUUUAAAACUCCUUCAGUGACCCCCUCUUCCACGGUGACAGGUGAGAGACAGAGCACUCCUUGGAGGAGUUAGGGCUGAAGAAGUAGGACAUGGAUGACGUUCUAAUAAUAAUAGCGAUAAUGUGGCAGGUACC
rnacentral:lncRNA from 1 species